GGAAAAAGACACAAAGACUUCCCAGGUUGUCAAUACGACAGCUCAUCCACUUUUAUGGAAGGCUGAACCUUCCACACAUCAUAAGGUCCUUGUCCUACUGUCAGCCAUUUUAGAAGUCUCUGUUUCUGCCCCUCCCCCAUCCUUAUGAAUAGUUUCCCUAUGAGUGUUCUAGAACAGGUUUCCUGUGAUGUCUUCAUUCUUGAUGUCCAUCACAACCCCGGCCUCCCUGGAAGCCCUGAUCCCUAAGUUUUCCUGAAAAGGGGCAGAGUAGACAGCCAUGUCAGCGUGGUGACUCGGCUGAGGGGCUCACAGCACCCUCUCUGCGUUGCUCCGGGAAGCCCUGAUGCACAGUGCAGCGUACACUCUCCACUAAAGGAAAGGAGCAGUGUCUUCAGAGAGCUCAAUGUCUUGCCCCCAAGAUGGUUUCUACACAAUUCACCUCAGGAUCAAAUUUUGUUGAAAAAGACACUCCCUUGCAAGUUCAGGUGUGGUUAAUGCCCUCAGCCUCUGUCACAAGGAGCCACUCUCUGCCUCUGCUCUGUCCACAUCGAUGCAGAGAUUCCAGCUGGGAGGGAUUUCUCUUCACCUCAGGAAGGAAGGCAUCCUUCACGUACUCCUAAUACCUGUGAACCUCAAAUGCCAACAUGUGAGACUGAGCAAAGUGCGGCCCCUGUUCACCUCUGCACCUCCAGACACUUCCUGUCUCUACUGAAAAGCCAGCGAAGAAGCAAGCUCAGCUCAUAUGACCUUUCUUCUGUCUUGCUACCCACUGUCUAGGGUAGAGCCAUUGGACUAAUGCUAUCUUCACUUGCUGGCCAAACAGACUUCUUCCAUGUUGGCCAAGGGCCACAUGCUCCCCGGAUGGCUAGAAACACUAAACUCACAUGCCAGGGACUUCGCUUCUUCAGUUGGAGCUGUCAAAUGUUUCCAGCUCUCAGCACGCACCAGUGUUUUCAUUCCAAGUAUGAUUUCUGUUAUGCUCUGUGGAACCAAUAUGGCUGUCCUGGUUCUAAGAAUCUUUGCCACUGCCAUCAAACACUAGAAAUAAAUUAAAUAAAAAAACCAAACCAAACCAAACCAACAACCCAGAGGUGCAAAUUUAGAGGAAGCUCUUUCAUUUAUUAUUUUAUUAUUAU
rnacentral:sRNA from 1 species